rnacentral:misc_RNA from 1 species
AAGUCGUAACAAGGUUUCCGUAGGUGAACCUGCGGAAGGAUCAUUAUAAUAUUUUCAUAUAUUAAAUUUAUUUAAUAUAUAAAAUUAUAUACAAAAUGUAUUCAAAACCCACACUCUUUAUAACCAUAAAAAAAAAUAUAUAUUUAUAAUAUAAUAAAAAAACAACUUUCAACAACGGAUCUCUUGGCUCUC